rnacentral:rRNA from 1 species
AACGAACGCUGGCGGCAUGCCUAACACAUGCAAGUCGAACGAGACCUUCGGGUCUAGUGGCGCACGGGUGCGUAACGCGUGGGAACCUGCCCUUAGGUUCGGAAUAACUCCCCGAAAGGGGUGCUAAUACCUGAUAAUGUCUUCGGACCAAAGAUUUAUCGCCUUUGGAUGGGCCCGCGUUGGAUUAGCUAGUUGGUAGGGUAAAAGCCUACCAAGGCGACGAUCCAUAGCUGGUCUGAGAGGAUGAUCAGCCACACUGGGACUGAGACACGGCCCAGACUCCUACGGGAGGCAGCAGUGGGGAAUAUUGGACAAUGGGCGAAAGCCUGAUCCAGCAAUGCCGCGUGAGUGAUGAAGGCCUUAGGGUUGUAAAGCUCUUUUACCCGGGAUGAUAAUGACAGUACCGGGAGAAUAAGCGCCGGCUAACUCCGUG